rnacentral:other from 1 species
CGUCUCCUGGGGUGCCGGCCAGCUUCCGUCAUCCUUGAGCCGUUAUAGAAACCUAAGGAGAUCUGGCGUCGGCGCCGGUGUGCAGACCCAACCGAUCACCCGCGAGCUUGGUCCCGCGGGAGUUCGCGGGAAGCCUUAAGAGCCGCCCGGAUCCCCGCCUUGAACCGGAACGGUUCAGGGUAACCAAGCAGCCGCAUCACCGGGAGACAA